CCUUUUGCUUUAUGUCCUUCCUUCCUUCCUUUUAUAUUCCCUGGAUGAUCUCUUUGUGAUCAACCGCCUAAAAACUGUUGGAUCGUUCUAUAACUGCCCAUUUUCCUCGUAAUGGCCAACUUGUUAUGGAACUACAUUUUCUAACUGCUGCCAUUACUCUUUGUUGUUCAACCGUCUUCAAUUAAGUUCUUUGAAUCGUGGAACGUGAUA
rnacentral:lncRNA from 1 species